GACGAACGCUGGCGGCGUGCUUAACACAUGCAAGUCGAACGGAAAGGCCCUGCUUUUGUGGGGUGCUCGAGUGGCGAACGGGUGAGUAACACGUGAGUAACCUGCCCUUGACUUUGGGAUAACUUCAGGAAACUGGGGCUAAUACCGGAUAGGAGCUCCUGCUGCAUGGUGGGGGUUGGAAAGUUUCGGCGGUUGGGGAUGGACUCGCGGCUUAUCAGCUUGUUGGUGGGGUAGUGGCUUACCAAGGCUUUGACGGGUAGCCGGCCUGAGAGGGUGACCGGCCACAUUGGGACUGAGACACGGCCCAGACUCCUACGGGAGGCAGCAGUGGGGAAUAUUGCGCAAUGGGCGGAAGCCUGAUGCAGCAACGCCGCGUGCGGGAUGACGGCCUUCGGGUUGUAAACCGCUUUCGCCUGUGACGAAGCGUGAGUGACGGUAAUGGGUAAAGAAGCACCGGCUAACUACGUGCCAGCAGCCGCGGUGAUACGUAGGGUGCGAGCGUUGUCCGGAUUUAUUGGGCGUAAAGGGCUCGUAGGUGGUUGAUCGCGUCGGAAGUGUAAUCUUGGGGCUUAACCCUGAGCGUGCUUUCGAUACGGGUUGACUUGAGGAAGGUAGGGGAGAAUGGAAUUCCUGGUGGAGCGGUGGAAUGCGCAGAUAUCAGGAGGAACACCAGUGGCGAAGGCGGUUCUCUGGGCCUUUCCUGACGCUGAGGAGCGAAAGCGUGGGGAGCGAACAGGCUUAGAUACCCUGGUAGUCCACGCUGUAAACGGUGGGUACUAGGUGUGGGGUCCAUUCCACGGGUUCCGUGCCGUAGCUAACGCUUUAAGUACCCCGCCUGGGGAGUACGGCCGCAAGGCUAAAACUCAAAGGAAUUGACGGGGCCCCGCACAAGCGGCGGAGCAUGCGGAUUAAUUCGAUGCAACGCGUAGAACCUUACCUGGGUUUGACAUGGAUCGGGAGUGCUCAGAGAUGGGUGUGCCUCUUUUGGGGUCGGUUCACAGGUGGUGCAUGGCUGUCGUCAGCUCGUGUCGUGAGAUGUUGGGUUAAGUCCCGCAACGAGCGCAACCCUUGUUCACUGUUGCCAGCACGUUAUGGUGGGGACUCAGUGGAGACCGCCGGGGUCAACUCGGAGGAAGGUGGGGAUGACGUCAAGUCAUCAUGCCCCUUAUGUCCAGGGCUUCACGCAUGCUACAAUGGCUGGUACAGAGAGUGGCGAGCCUGUGAGGGUGAGCGAAUCUCGGAAAGCCGGUCUCAGUUCGGAUUGGGGUCUGCAACUCGACCUCAUGAAGUCGGAGUCGCUAGUAAUCGCAGAUCAGCAACGCUGCGGUGAAUACGUUCCCGGG
rnacentral:rRNA from 1 species